rnacentral:snoRNA from 1 species
AGAUGAGAUGACGAAUGAGAUUAAUUUCCCUAUUGGUUUGAUUGGCUGAUAUGAUGGCCUAAAUACUGAACCAAAUCAGGUCACCA